rnacentral:rRNA from 1 species
UACGUAGGGUGCGAGCGUUGCCCGGAUUUAUUGGGCGUAAAGGGCGCGUAGGCGGCCACGCACGUCCGUUGUGAAAUCGCCCGGCUCAACUGGGCGGGGUCAGCGGAUACGGUGUGGCUCGAGCAAGCUAGGGGGCAAUGGAAUUCCUGGUGUAGCGGUGGAAUGCGCAGAUAUCAGGAGGAACACCGAUGGCGAAGGCAGAUCUCUGGGCCGUAAUUGACGCUGGAGGAGCGAAAGCCUGGGGAGCGAACAGG